AAGUCCUCAGAUGGUGAUGCACGUUAGCAAAUUCAAAUCACGACCAAACUCAGAGAUCUUGGUGGUUAAAAGCGAUCAUCACUGAACUU